GAGAAGGACAAGAUGAAGAGGUACAUGGUGUUGGCAUUGUAAUGCUUGACGUAGGCUUCAGUAACAUCGAAUCAAUGAUCUACCAGACAAACCAUGAGAUAAUGCUGCUUGCUAAGGACCUGUCAACCUCCAAAGGGCAAGUGAAGGUUCAGCCAUUUCAGGAACAAAUGAACCACAAGAAUAAGGAGAAGAUAUAUCAACAAGAUACGAUGAACAUGCAUGCAAGCUAGUGCACCAUCUUUGUACGGCUCUGGGAGGAAUGGAAUGAAUAGGGUUGGAGCUAUGGAAAUAUCUGGCAGUACGUAAUGGAGUCGUACUUGGUAAAUCCAACAAUUACAAAAGUAACCUCCUUCUAGCAGCUUCUAGCUCCCAAUCCAUUUACCAAUCUGCAGGAGUAUCUUUUCCAAAUCCACAAGCUCAAAUUUCACCUGCCAAUUACAAUAUUUAUGCUCCAAUCCACAACACUCAGAGUUGACGAGAAUAAGACCUGCACGUACUUUAAUUGUCGCAUGAGAAAAAUGAAGUCAAACGUUCAAAGGUCAUGCAAGGAUGCAAAACUCAGAUUAUGUACUAAUAGAACCGAUGUAACAUGGAUCAUGAAAAAUAUAAUGGAUGCAAGAAGGUUGAGGAGAAUCUGACCACUUUGGAUCAACGAUUUACUAGAUAUAUAUGUAUCACUACUAUUGUUAUAUUUGUAAUUUAAGAUUUAGUUAACUGAAUUAAACUAUUGUCAAAAUUUAUUUCAU